rnacentral:rRNA from 1 species
AUUGAACGCUGGCGGCAGGCCUAACACAUGCAAGUCGAACGAGUGGCGGACGGGUGAGUAAUGCGUGGGUAACCUGCCCUUAAGUCUGGGAUACCACUUGGAAACAGAUGCUAAUCCCGGAUACAAAAGGAUGGACUUGCGAGGCAUUAGCUAGUUGGUAAGGUAACGGCUUACCAAGGCGAUGAUGCAUAGCCGAGUUGAGAGACUGAUCAGCCACAUUGGGACUGAGACACGGCCCAAACUCCUACGGGAGGCAGCAGUAGGGAAUCUUCCACAAUGGACGAAAGUCUGAUGGAGCAACGCCGCGUGAGUGAAGAAGGUUUUCGGAUCGUAAAGCUCUGUUGUUGGUGAAGCGGUAAUCGACCAGAAAGUCACGGCUAACUACGUGCCAGCAGCCGCGGUAAUAC